rnacentral:rRNA from 1 species
GAUGAACGCUGACAGAAUGCUUAACACAUUCAAGUCGAUGGGGAAGUGGUGCUUGCACCAUGGUAACCAUGGCGGACGGGUGGGUAACGCGUAAGGAACUUACCUGCGGGACCGGGAUAACAGCAGGAAACUGCUGACAAGACCGGAUAAGGUCAUUAAGCUGCAUAGCUUAGUGAUGAAAGGAGACGCCUGCGGAGAGCCUUGCGUCCUAUUAGCUAGUUGGAGGGGUAACGGCCCACCAAGGCGAAGAUAGGUAGCCGGCCUGAGAGGGUGGACGGCCACAAGGGGACUGAGAUACGGCCCUUACUCCUACGGGAGGCAGCAGUGGGGAAUAUUGGACAAUGGGGGCAACCCUGAUCCAGCAAUUCUGUGUGCACGAAGACGGUUUUCGGAUUGUAAAGUGCUUUCAGCAGGGAAGAAGGAGGUGACGGUACCUGCAGAAGAAGCGACGGCUAAAUACGUG